rnacentral:rRNA from 1 species
CCCUUACAUAGUGGGGGAGUAACAGUCGGAAACGAAUGCUAAUACCGCAUAGGACAUAGGAUCACAUGAUCCAGUGAGGAAAGGUGGCGCAAGCUAUCGCUAAGAGAUGGACCCGCGGUGCAUUAGCUAGUUGGUAGGGUAAAGGCCUACCAAGGCGAUGAUGCAUAGCCGACCUGAGAGGGUGAUCGGCCACAUUGGGACUGAGACACGGCCCAA